UACGAAGGGGGCUAGCGUUGUUCGGAAUCACUGGGCGUAAAGGGCGCGUAGGCGGCUUUAUAAGUCGGGGGUGAAGGCCUGUGGCUCAACCACAGAAUUGCCUUCGAUACUGUAGGGCUUGAGACCGGAAGAGGUUAGUGGAACUGCGAGUGUAGAGGUGAAAUUCGUAGAUAUUCGCAAGAACACCAGUGGCGAAGGCGGCUAACUGGUCCGGUUCUGACGCUGAGGCGCGAAAGCGUGGGGAGCAAACAGG
rnacentral:rRNA from 1 species